rnacentral:tRNA from 5 species
GAGCCAUUAGCUCAGUCGGUAGAGCAUCUGACUUUUAAUCAGAGGGUCAGAGGUUCGAAUCCUCUAUGGCUCACCA